GAUGAACGCUGGCGGCGUGCCUAAUACAUGCCAGUCGAGCGAACAGACGAGGAGCUUGCUCCUUUGACGUUAGCGGCGGACGGGUGAGUAACACGUAGGUAACCUACCUAUAAGACUGGGAUAACUUCGGGAAACCGGAGCUAAUACCGGAUAAUAUUUCGAACCGCAUGGUUCGAUAGUGAAAGAUGGCUUUGCUAUCACUUAUAGAUGGACCUGCGCCGUAUUAGCUAGUUGGUAAGGUAACGGCUUACCAAGGCAACGAUACGUAGCCGACCUGAGAGGGUGAUCGGCCACACUGGAACUGAGACACGGUCCAGACUCCUACGGGAGGCAGCAGUAGGGAAUCUUCCGCAAUGGGCGAAGGCCUGACGGAGCAACGCCGCGUGAGUGAUGAAGGUCUUCGGAUCGUAAAACUCUGUUAUUAGGGAAGAACAAACGUGUAAGUAACUGUGCACGUCUUGACGGUACCUAAUCAGAAAGCCACGGCUAACUACGUG
rnacentral:rRNA from 1 species